GAUGAACGCUGGCGGCGUGCCUAAUACAUGCAAGUCGAGCGAACAGACGAGGAGCUUGCUCCUCUGACGUUAGCGGCGGACGGGUGAGUAACACGUGGAUAACCUACCUAUAAGACUGGGAUAACUUCGGGAAACCGGAGCUAAUACCGGAUAAUACAUUGAACCGCAUGGUUCAAUAGUGAAAGACGGUUUUGCUGGCACUUAUAGAUGGAUCCGCGCCGCAUUAGCUAGUUGGUAAGGUAACGGCUUACCAAGGCAACGAUGCGUAGCCGACCUGAGAGGGUGAUCGGCCACACUGGAACUGAGACACGGUCCAGACUCCUACGGGAGGCAGCAGUAGGGAAUCUUCCGCAAUGGGCGAAAGCCUGACGGAGCAACGCCGCGUGAGUGAUGAAGGUCUUCGGAUCGUAAAACUCUGUUAUUAGGGAAGAACAAAUGUGUAAGUAACUAUGCACGUCUUGACGGUACCUAAUCAGAAAGCCACGGCUAACUACGUGCCAGCAGCCGCCGUAA
rnacentral:rRNA from 1 species